rnacentral:rRNA from 1 species
GACGAACGCUGGCGGCGUGCCUAAUACAUGCAAGUCGAACGAGAGCGACCGGUGCUUGCACUGGUCAAUCUAGUGGCGAACGGGUGAGUAACACGUGGGUAACCUGCCCAUCAGAGGGGGAUAACAUCCGGAAACGGAUGCUAAAACCGCAUAGGUCUUCGAGCCGCAUGGCUUGAAGAGGAAAAGAGGCGCAAGCUUCUGCUGAUGGAUGGACCCGCGGUGCAUUAGCUAGUUGGUGAGGUAACGGCUCACCAAGGCCGUGAUGCAUAGCCGACCUGAGAGGGUGAUCGGCCACAUUGGGACUGAGACACGGCCAAAACUCCUACGGGAGGCAGCAGUAGGGAAUCUUCCGCAAUGGACGCAAGUCUGACGGAGCAACGCCGCGUGAGUGAAGAAGGUUUUCGGAUCGUAAAACUCUGUUGUUAGAGAAGAACAAGUGCUAGAGUAACUGUUAGCGCCUUGACGGUAUCUAACCAGAAAGCCACGGCUAACUACGUG